ACAAUUCUAUUCUCUCUCUCUCCCCUUGGCUAUAUAUAAUACGAGUAUUUAAGAAGCUCUUUCUGGAAUAGAAUGAAACUGUCAAACCAGAGAAGAGAAGAGAAGAAAAGAGAGGAAAAGAGACAUGGGCAGUAGAGGUCCAGCACCAAAAUUCUACCGGAUUGCCUUGCCCUUUACAAGCACCAGCGGCCCCAGAAUCCCAAGGGAAUACUUCCUACGACAUAUGGCGAAUGAACCAUUUGAAGGCGUUGCGUAUCUAAUGCUAUCUCAUACCCACAUAUGGCGAGUGGCGGUAUCCAUUCACCCACAAGGCCCCAUACUCUUCAAAGAUGGUUGGGAAACGUUCUACGCCGACAACGCCAUCACCGCCGACAACAUUCUACUCUUCUCCUAUAUUGGCGGAUGGCGAUUCCAUGUCGAUGUAUUAAAUAAAAAUGGAAUUAGAAUCAAAUAGAGUGAGUGUGUGAUGAUCGAUCGAUAUGGCAUAUUUGCAUCCACACAUUGUUCAAUCCAGUUAUUUACUUACUGGAGACUUUUUUGUUAUGCCCACAAUUCAACCAAACAGAAUUGACACCCUAAUUAUGUGAUUGCCUGGCAAAAAAAUCCAACGAAUCUCCAAAGAAUUAUUAUCGCUACUUCCGAAACAAAAUAAGGUUAUCUAAACUUGAUCCGAGGCUUUUUACAAAAUUCUGAUAGUGUUUAGUUUAUCUUAUCCUUUCUGUGUUCCUUCUUCAAAAGGUGUGAGGUAUAAAUUCUCAGUUGAAUGAACAUCUUGAGUUUGGCUAUUUCUUAUAUUUUCAACCAUGACCAUAUUAAUCAAGGGCUGGGUCUGGCGUCUCUAGCCUUUCUCCAUAUCUUCAAACAUGAUCAUAUUUUUACGCACUAUGUCUAUGUGUUGUUGGAAGUUUUGCUUGAUUUUGUCUAGACUAUUCUAGUUUAUGCUAUAACGAAAACAAAACACCAAAAUUGCGAGGAUGCAAGGAACCAGUGGAAGAGUCAAGUUAUGUGGCGUGUCUAUGCUAUUGUAAUUGUGGCUGCUGUUGUACUUGUGCGUGCAUCAAUGGGAUGGAGUAAGAGUAGAGGCUGCUUUAUCAUAUCAUAUAGCAGUAGGACAUGGACAUCUCAAGGUCAAGGUAAUGACCUAUUUCACGUUUGAAGUUGAUCAUAUGUUUUGGUUGCCAUUCUUUUAUUUGAUGAUAAAUCAAGAUUCUUUUUAGUCGGGAAGACUGCUCAUUUCAGGAACUCUUUAUUAUAUUGCCGACGCUUUUUAUUGGGAGACUUGUCGUGUGAGCAUUGUUUCUGAUUGAUGCUAGCUAGGUGCUUCUCUUGUGAAUUGUUUUCUGGCGAAAGGAAAGAUGGGAAGACAUACGUUGCGGUGCCCCCAAAGGCAAGGACUGCAGACUUCACCUGGCCAAAAAUGUAUAUGUAUUUUUGCUGAUAUGAUGAUCAGCACACACUCAUCAUCAGAGUCGAUUACUCAUAUGAAAAGAGAAAGCAGCAAAUCAUGAUUAUUCAAACAAUACAUACUUGUUUGCCCGCCCUUAUUUAUUAUUCAACAAUCGCUUAGAGAUAAGAGCGGAACAACAGCCUCACCGUCUUAGUCGAAGCUAUCUCCUCCCCUUUGGAUAAAAAUCAGCUUAGCUUGCAAUAGCCUUUAUUUUCAGGCCAAAAAGGCGCGGAGAUAGGUUGGUGCAAAUGUGGCGGCGUCAAAGCCAUCUGCGACCUCCCCUCUCUGUAACACAACUGUUUUUUAUAUACAGAGACAUGUACACGGGCGUGUUUAAUCCCAACACUAUUAUGUCAUUUAAACACGGCCGUGUUUUUGUACACAGGGUGAUAUAUGGCCAUAUUCCAUCGCUCCCACGAUUCUUUUUGUUGAACACGCCGUGUGCGCAUUAAAUACGAUCGUAUUUAAAACAUAAAUUCAGCUUCUAUAAAAGUGAAUAAAUAAGGACACACACAAGUAGUCCACACAAGCAAUUCUAUUCUCUCUCUCUCUCUAUACAGCUAGAAUGAAAUUGUAAAGUGAGCAACCAUCGGCGCUGCGUUGAGCCCUAAACCCCAAACCACACCAGAGCAGAGAAGAGAUAUGGGUAGAGGUCCACCACCUAAUUUCUACAGGAUUGCUUUGCCCUUUACUAGCACCACCGGCCCUAGACUCCCAAGGGAAUACUUCCUGCGGCAUAUGGCGGACGAACCAUUUGGAGGUAUUGCGAAUCUAAUUGUAUCUGACACCGAGAUAUGGAGAGUGGCGGUAUCCAUUGAGCGAGAAGGCCCCAUACUCUUCAAAGAUGGUUGGGAAACGUUUUGCGCCGAUAACUCCAUCUCCGCCUAUCAUGUUCUAGUUUUCUACUAUAUUGGCGGAUGGCGAUUCCAUGUCGAUGUAUUCGAUAAGAAGGGAUUUAGAAUCAAAUAGAUGUUGUUGUGCCUGUGCCUGAAAGAUCGAUGUUUGACUGAUUGUUCAAUCGUUUAAUUUACUUUUACUUGUUGUCUGUCUGUCAGUCAGUCAAUCGGCCAAUCGGAAAGACAAAAGGAUAAUGAUGAUGAUACCUUCUUACCUGCCAAUACCAAUAUCAGCAAACUUUUUUAUUUAUUUA